rnacentral:rRNA from 1 species
UACGUAGGGAGCAAGCGUUGUCCGGAAUCAUUGGGCGUAAAGCGCGCGUAGGUGGCUUCGUAAGUCCGUUGUGAAAGUCAAAGGCUCAACCUUUGAAAGCCGAUGGAUACUGCGGAGCUAGAGUACGGAAGAGGCGAGUGGAAUUCCUGGUGUAGCGGUGGAAUGCGCAGAUAUCAGGAGGAACACCAAUAGCGAAGGCGACUACCUGGCCUGUUCUUGACGCUGAGGCGCGAAAGCUAGGGGAGCAAACGGG